UCAGUUACAAGAGGAAGGAGAAAGAGGAUACUGGUUUUCCUCUGCAUAAAAAACGCGAUGGAUUCUCAAGAAUUUAUUGAAAGUCUGUGUGUCCACCAUAGUCCAGGAUAUUUUGGAAUAUUCAAGGGAAAUACAAAUCCAAGAAUUUAGCUCAGGAAUCAGCAUCAGAACAGAAUCCCCGAAGAGUAAACUAUUCAUGGAAAACAGUAGACUGAUAACAUUUGAAAAACUGAUUUCCCAUAGAAACAAUAGUUACUGUUUGACGAAUUAUACAACGUAGACCUAGGUCGUGCGAUAGCUACAAAAUACCUAAGGAAAUGGACUAGGUCGUAACAAGAAAAAGUGAUAUCAAGCCCGGGCAGAAGGGCGCACUCCCGACCUCCGCCCUGUCGCAGUUCCAGGGCGCUCCGCGCUGUCAUGAUUGCUGGGUGCGCGCUCCGUGCUGGGACAGCCGCGCACCAACAGCGGAGGGCGUUAGCACCCCAAGACGCUGCUGCAGGGGUCUGAACCGCUCCUUGGCCUACUGGCACCGGGUCCUGGACGAAAUCUACCGCGGUCCAACUGAGCUUUAUCUUGUGCGGUGACGCCCAUGCCUAGGUCUUGACACUUCCCUCCUAUGCCCUUUAUUGCCAAGGGUCGGGAUGGCCUUCGUGUCCUCUGCAGCCUCCGCCUUCCUUCUGCUGCCAGCAGCUGUAGAUUUUACCUCUUUCCCCUAACUUCCUCUCAGGCUCCUACUCCAUUCCUAUCGCGACUGCUUGAGACCGGGCCACCUCCCCCGCAAAUUACCUACUCCAGUGUCAAAAUCAGGUCAGGGCAAAUCCAUGCCAGAACGCAGUGACCUAACUUAAAUGCGACUCUGAUUGCGUUCUUCCCAGCUUAGAACUUUUGGUGUCUCCUGAUGGUCAAAGGGACCGAGGUCAACCUCCUCUGCCCCUUUCAAGGCACCUCAAGAUCCGAUCCCUUUAUAUUCCCCAGUCUUGAUCCUUCUCUCCUGCUCCAGGGGAAUGAAACACAAUCCCACAUCUGGGAUGUUACUCAUCCCCAUUGCCUCACCAGUUUUUCUGGAUUUUAUUUUAUUGUGCAAAAACAUCAAUAAAAUGAAAUUAUCCAGUUUCUCUGGAUGAUUUACUCGCCUUUAAGUUGAAAACUGAUAACAUCAUAUCCUGCAGGACUGCCACCUCAGCUGAAUUAGAUGACCCUUUUGUAUCUUACAGCAGCUGCAUGUUUCUCUCCAAUGUAGUCAAGAUCACUACUGUAGCUAUUUAGUUACCUAUUUAUCUCACUUCAUUCCCAGCAAUUUAUUAUCUGAGUACUCUGUACCGGGCACUGGGUUAAGUAGAUGUUAUGAAUACUGUACUACCAUGUGAAGUAGCUUCUGUUACCCUCGUCAUUUACAAGCGAGCAUAUAGAGGCUAAGAGAGUUUAAUCUGUCAAUCUACAUGGCCAGGAUGCAGAGAACUCAGACAGGCACCCUUAUUGUUGUUGUUGGUUUUUGUCUCUGUACCUAGUACAGUGACUGGGACAUAGCAGGUGUUCACUAAGUGUGAAAUAUAUGGAAGCUUUGUUUUGUUUUGUUUUUUGAUCCUCAACACCACUCCAGAGGGCAGGCCAUACAGGAAUCAUACUUGCCUUUUUUAGAUAUGCAAAGAGAUCCAGAAAAUUGACUUGGCAAUUCAUAAAGACCAGGGACAUGUGACUCCUCUCAUGCUUUUUUCACCAUUAUAGCUUUUUCUGGGACAACUUCCCAGAAGAGGAUUUCCUUUUUAUUUUUCCUGGAAAAGUUUGAUGAUAAGAGAUUCGUUUUUACAUCUGAUCAGAUUUAGACUCUCUAUAGUGCCAGAAUAGAGAGCAAAGAGGGACAAGAGUAGGUUCUGCUGACAAAAGAAAGUGGAAGGGGUAGCAAACCCACUUCACAACAUCAUUAUUUUGAUGUGUAGCAUCAAAAAAAUUGCUUGAGUUUCUGUAGCAAUUGCUAUAUAAGUACAAUAAUGUAUCUUGAAGUCAUUCUAGGCCAUCUGGAAUAUUAUUCCUGGUGGUACCAAGCCACCAGCUGAAGAGUUUUAAGUAAUAACAUGAUCAGAAUUGGAUUUGCUGUAUACACACAUAAAUGUGUAUACACACAUACACACCACCACCACCACCAGCAACAGUGCAGGGAGUGAGCUGCAGUGAUACAAAGGAACUACAGGAAAUGUUGUCAAUAACAGGUUUGUUCCUAAUAGCAAAAGGUGGAAACAACCACCAUGUCUACUGGCAACAGAAUGGUUAGAUUGUGAUGUUUUCACACAAUAAAUAUUAUAUAGCAAUAAAAAUGAAUGAAUUUUACCUUAUGUAAAAACGUGAAUAAAUCUUUGAAAUAUUACAAAUUAUUAUCGUAUGAAGAGACAAAGAAUAUGCCACCAGAAAUGUGGAAAAAAAUAUAUUAGCACCCAGGCUCUUGAUUUGUUAAAGAGAAAUGUACUAUCCAUGUUUACACUUAUAUACAAUAUCUGCAAUUUAUUAAAUUUAUUACAUAAA
rnacentral:lncRNA from 1 species